rnacentral:lncRNA from 1 species
GAAGAUUGUCUUAUAGGUCCUGGGAGCAUCUUCUGAGACUCAUUCUACCAUGAAGCUUACCACCACCUUUCUAGUGCUCUGUGUGGCUCUGCUCAGUGACUCUGGCAGGUGUUGCUUUCUUCAUGGACUCAUUGGCCAAGCCUGCGGUAGAACCCGUGGCCGCCCUUGCUCCAGCUGCAGAGGCUGUGGCAGGGGCUGUGCCUAGCCUACCAUUAAGCCACUUGGCCAUCCUGAGGUUCAUCCUGGCCAGCAUGGGCAUCCCAUUGGAUCCUCUCAUAGAGGGAUCCAGGAAGUGUGUCACCGAGCUGGGCCCUGAGGCUGUAGGAGCUGUGAAGUCACUGCUGGGGGUCCUGACAAUGUUCGGUUGAGGGGAACCUGGGAAAAUUCUGCCUGACGAGAUGCCUGACGAGAUAUUUUUCUUUAACAAGAGCUGGAAACCCUGCUGCUCACACCUUUCUCCUUCCUCUGUACCUUAAUAAACCCAGCUAGAACAGC